AGUGAACGCUGGCGGUAGGCCUAACACAUGCAAGUCGAACGGCAGCACAGUAAGAGCUUGCUCUUACGGUUGGCGAGUGGCGGACGGGUGAGGAAUACAUCGGAAUCUACUUUUUCGUGGGGGAUAACGUAGGGAAACUUACGCUAAUACCGCAUACGACCUACGGGUGAAAGCAGGGGAUCCUCGGACCUUGCGCGAUUGAAUGAGCCGAUGUCGGAUUAGCUAGUUGGCGGGGUAAAGGCCCACCAAGGCGACGAUCCGUAGCUGGUCUGAGAGGAUGAUCAGCCACACUGGAACUGAGACACGGUCCAGACUCCUACGGGAGGCAGCAGUGGGGAAUAUUGGACAAUGGGCGCAAGCCUGAUCCAGCCAUACCGCGUGGGUGAAGAAGGCCUUCGGGUUGUAAAGCCCUUUUGUUGGGAAAGAAAAGCAGCAUGUGAAUACCCCGCUGUUCUGACGGUACCCAAAGAAUAAGCACCGGCUAACUUCGUG
rnacentral:rRNA from 1 species